UUUAGGUUUUGGGUGUCAUGGUGUAGUGACUUGAGGGUGUGAGGCAGGAGGAACACAACUGGAAAUAAGAAACCCGGCGAAAGUGCUACACACUGCUAGGGGAUUAAUUGGGUUUAUUAAUAGGGGAUUGUUUUCAUUAAUUAAGAUAGGACUUGUAAAGCGAGGGUGUCCCCUUAG